ensembl:lincRNA
AUGCUGGGUACAUCGUCUGGCAUCGGCUCUUCUUGGCAGGCAAGGUGCUUCCCGCCAGUGGCCGAGGUUCCAGUCCAGGCUCCCAGGCCUGCUGAGGACCUCAAGUCACAACAGAAUACAAUGCCCAAGACCCCUGAGCUGUCGCACCCAACACCGAGCCAGGGAGCUGGCUGGGCCCGUCACAGCCAUGGCUGGAGCAGGAGUGAGGUAACAAGGCCGGGCAGAGAGGUGGGAAGGGGUGCUCUCUACACCUUGUGCAAAUCCCUGCUUCACAUCAGGGAAGCAGGGGGUGUUAAGAGACGGCCUUCCAGAAAAACGCUCCACUCGGACCCAAAAACGCAUCUUCUGGAAGAAAACAUAGAGGUGGAGGGAGGGGGGCCAGCCUGCUGGAGAUGGGGGGAUGAGGGUCAAGGAUGUCAAGUGGUGGAUGGGAGGAUUGUCCCACAGCCUAGAGACAAGGGGCGGGGGGAGGAGAGAGGCAGGAGAGCCCGAGGCUCCGUGUCACCAGGAUCCCCUCUGGCUUUGGCCCAAGCCACAGCUCCAAACAGGGCCCUCCUCCAUCUUCCCACAUCUGGCAGUGCUCUGGGCACUUGGUGAGUUUCCUCCUCCUCUUUGUCCUCAGACAGGGAGGCUGGAGCUCUACCUGCCUGUGAUGUCAGCUGCUGGUGCGGGAGGGAGGGGGAGGGCCGGCGGGCCCAGCUCCCAGAGGGUUUGUACUGGGCUCCUUCCUCGUGCUGAGGGAGCCUACUGCAGAGGUCACCUACUGCGGAGAAUCUGGGGACCGGGCACACCGAUGGGAGCUCAAGCGCUCUGGAAGUAGGCUGUCUGAGGACAAUUUCUGGGCUAGAAGCAGCAGAACUGAAAGUAUCCUUCCUUUUACCAGGAGGCUCUCCAUUCUGGUAGCUUGACCCGAGCUGACAUCAGUUGAGCCUGCAACUCCGGAGGCCUGGCCUGGCCUUUGGCCUCAAAUUCCAUGACUUUGGUUUCUCCAUCUGUUCACUCGUGAAUUCCACGAGCAUCUGUGGAGUGCUUCCUCUGUGCCAGAUAGAAGAGAUAUGGUCUCUGUCCUCCGGGGUCUCGUGGGCCGGCGGUGGGGAGACAGAAAAGUGAGCUGAACAGCGCAAACCACGAGGCAAGUGCUGGAAAAACGAACCACAGCCCAGCACUCCAUCUGUAAAACGGCCCUCCCUAGCACACCUGGAAGAAACGAGGUGAGCUCCAGGGAGACAGGUAAGACGGGAACACCUUUCCUGCAAGUGAGAGAAAAGGUGAUGCAAGAAAUCCCCAAACUGGGGCACCUGGGUGGCUCUGCCUUCGGCUCAGGUCAUGAUCUCAGGGUCCUGGGAUGGAGCCCCCCAUUGGGGCUCUCUGCUCAGCAGGGAGCUUGCUUCCUCCUCUCUCUCUCUGCCUGCCUCUCUGCCUACUUGUGAUCUCUGUCUCUCUCUCUCUGUCAAAUAAAUAAAUAAAUAAAGUCUUCUAAAAAACUUUUAUAAAAAAAAUAAAAAAGAAAUCCCCAGAUUAACCAUACCCAAAGCUCACACGAUUCUCGUUCCCCCUCCUUGGAUCUUGGGAAAUCCCCUCAUUUCCCACGACUCGGAGAAGACAGGUCCUGCGGCUAUUCACCCCCUCACCUUCCCGCCACGUGGCGUGGGAACUCACUUGCAUCCACCUCCAUUGGGAUCUGGUCCAGGCCAAUCCUUCCACCUGUGCUCAAGCUCUUUCCUUGCCUCCUCCAAAACCUUGCUCCCUUAUCUCCCGUAGGAACCAGGAGCCCACUGACCAAGUCGGAAUCCUGGAACUAACUCCCAAGGCCUCCCUUCUCACACCCUAAAUCCGAUCCAUCACAAAGUCCUGGACAUUGGAAUCCCCUUAAAAUGUAUCCUGAAUUCAUCUACUUCUUUUCUUUCUUUUUUUACUUCCUCCACAACUACCAUCCCAAGUCCAAGCCACCAAUAUCCUUUAACUAGACUGCCCCAGGUGCUCGCUCCCUCUGCAGCAGCCACCAUUCCUCUGCACUGCAAACUUCAGAAUGCAAAUCUGAUGCUGUCAGCAUCCUUCUUAAAGACUCGUAGUAGCUUGGGGCGCCUGGUGGCUCAGCAGGUUGGGCCUCUGCCUUCAGCUCAGGUCAUCAUCUCAGGGUCCUGGCAUCGAGCCCCACAUCGGGCUCUCUGCUCAGUAGGGAGCCUGCUUCCUCCUCUCUCUCUGCCUGCCUCUCUGCCAACUUGUGAUCUCUGUCUGUCAAAUAAAUAAAUAAAAUCUUAAAAAAUAAAAUAAAUAAAAUAUAAAGGGCUGUGUCUCCCUCUAUUAAAACAAUUUUUCCCCAGUCACCCCUGCCUUCUCCUCUAGGUAUCAUCUCUUCCUCCCGGAAAAACUCCUAGAAUAAACUCUCCUUGCUCGCCCUCUUUUUCCUCCCUUCUCCUACGCCCUUCUAAAACUGCUCUGUGGUUACCAGAGACCUCUGAACGAUCACUGCAGAAGAUCCCAUUUCGUGGGGCACCCCUGGGGACACAGUCAGCUGAGCAUACAAUGCUUGGUUCUGGCUCAGACCAUGGUCUUGCGGUUGUGGCAUCGAGCCCCACGUUGAGCUCUGAGCGUGGAGUCUGCUUCAGAUUCUCUCCCUCCCCCUCUCAUUCACUCUCUCUCUCAAAAAAAUAAAUAAAAUCUUUAAAAAGAAAAAAAAAAAAAAAGAUGGUGCUUCCCUUACCUGCCUCUUUCCUCUUUGAUUCUGCCUUCUUGAGUCUGUUAUUUAUUUUUUUUUAA